ACUGGAAUCAUUAUAUGAUGUGAUGAUGACGAAGAUGAUGAUAUAUGGCAGUAGCAGUCAUCCUCCUCGUCAUCAUCAUGAUCAUGAUCAUGA
rnacentral:miRNA from 1 species